rnacentral:lncRNA from 1 species
CAUUAAUAAACUCAACACAUUGUAUAACUCGUUCUGCCGAUUUGUGCUACAAUGUAAUUACAGGACCCAUCAUUGUGACAUGCUAAAAGAACUAAACUGGCUAUCGCUGGAAUCCAGAUGCACCCUUCAUCUUUCCAGCCUUGUUUUUAAGAGCUUUUCUGGGAAACUCCCACCCUACCUGAACAAAAUGCUUUCCCCAGC